rnacentral:rRNA from 1 species
UAAUGCAUCGGAACGUGCUAGUCGUGAAGGAUAACUGCUCGAAAGAGCAGCUAAUAUGCAUACGACCCGAGAUGAAAGCGGCGGAGCGAAAGGCCUCGCGCGAUUGGAGCGGCCGAUGUCAGAUUAGGUAGUUGGUGGGGUAAAGGCCUACCAAGCCGACGAUCUGUAGUUGGUCUGAGAGGACGACCAGCCACACUGGGACUGAGACACGGCCCAGACUCCUACGGGAGGCAGCAGUGGGGAAUUUUGGACAAUGGGGGCAACCCUGAUCCAGCAAUGCCGCGUGCAGGAAGAAGGCCUUCGGGUUGUAAACUGCUUUUGUCAGGGAAGAAAUCCUGUGGGUUAAUACCUCGUGGGGAUGACGGUACCUGAAGAAUAAGCACCGGCUAACUACGUGCCAGCAGCCGCGGUAAUACGUAGGGUGCGAGCGUUAAUCGGAAUUACUGGGCGUAAAGCGUGCGCAGGCGGUUUUGUAAGACAGAGGUGAAAUCCCCCGGGCUCAACCUGGGAACUGCCUUUGUGACUGCAAGGCUGGAGUACGGCAGAAGGGGGAUGGAAUUCCGCGUGUAGCAGUGAAAUGCGUAGAUAUGCGGAGGAACACCGAUGGCGAAAGCAAUCCCCUGGGCCUGUACUGACGCUC